rnacentral:rRNA from 1 species
UACGAAGGGGGCUAGCGUUGCUCGGAAUCACUGGGCGUAAAGGGUGCGUAGGCGGGUCUUUAAGUCAGGGGUGAAAUCCUGGAGCUCAACUCCAGAACUGCCUUUGAUACUGAAGAUCUUGAGUUCGGGAGAGGUGAGUGGAACUGCGAGUGUAGAGGUGAAAUUCGUAGAUAUUCGCAAGAACACCAGUGGCGAAGGCGGCUCACUGGUCCAUAACUGACGCUGAGGCACGAAAGCGUGGGGAGCAAACAGG